rnacentral:lncRNA from 1 species
UAAUAAUAAUAAUAAUAAUAAUAAUAAUAAUAAUAAUAAUAAUAAUAAUAAAUGAAAUUUCAGAAUUCUUCUUGAAGAAAUACCUGACGAUCACAUGCCUAGGUGGCAUGUGGGAUUCACCCCAGAUUAAAAUUUGUUUUUUAUCACAUAUUCAUGUUUGGAAAAGUAUCAAAAGUCAAAUGGUGGUGGUCCUGUUAGAAACCGAUGGCGCCCUGCAUGG